rnacentral:lncRNA from 1 species
ACAGCCCCAGGCUUCAGCGUCUUGUGUGGAGUCAUCGGUUGGUGAAGCCCAAAGAUCAGAUCACAAGGUUCACCUGAUGGAGCCCAAUGAGGACUCAUAGAGAACAGGACCGGACAUGGGAGUAAACUCCGACAUUCUCCACAUGUCACCCUGUCCUGGAACGAGAAGACACAUAAGACGGUCUGUGGCAGUGAGGCUGGUCACACGGCCAUCCAUGCGGAUAACUGAACUGAGGGCCUUGCGCAUCCUAGGCAAGAGGGCCACCACCGAGCCACGCCCCGUGCUCUCAUUUAAGCCUUAAAGCACGGAGAGAACAACCCAAAGAGCCACUGAUUGGUAGAAGAACAUCACAUGGUGCAUCUAUCAAGUUCAGUAAGAGUGCAGUGCACAGGGAUGAGGUGUGCUGACCCUCCGGACAUCAUGCUUGAGGACAGAAGCCAGACCCAGAAUCAGUGGCUGGGGAUCGGGAUGGGAACUGACUGCCCGUGGGUUUGGGCACUGAUAAGGAUGUUUCAAAUCAUACCAUGAUAUGGUUG